ACGUCCUUAGUUCAAUUGGUAGAGCGUUGGUUUCCAAAACCAAAUGUUGUGGGUUCAAGUCCUACAGGACGUG
rnacentral:tRNA from 1 species